rnacentral:rRNA from 1 species
UACGUAGGGUGCGAGCGUUGUCCGGAAUUAUUGGGCGUAAAGGGCUCGUAGGCGGUUUGUCGCGUCGGGAGUGAAAACACGGGGCUUAACUCCGUGCCUGCUUCCGAUACGGGCAGACUAGAGGUAUGCAGGGGAGAAUGGAAUUCCUGGUGUAGCGGUGAAAUGCGCAGAUAUCAGGAGGAACACCGGUGGCGAAGGCGGUUCUCUGGGCAUUACCUGACGCUGAGGAGCGAAAGUGUGGGGAGCGAACAGG